rnacentral:ncRNA from 1 species
UAUACAGUGCCUCCCUGUCACGGGGAGGAGAAUAGGGAACCAUGUGAAAAUCAUGGACGGUAACCGCCACUGUGUAAUGCUCCGGUCCGGAGAGGGGCGCAAGGCCCGCCAUUGGGGAAACCUGAGAAGGCGCUUUCGGAUCGCGCGGCCAAGGCCGCGGGGGCAUAAGUCAGGAGACCUGCUGGAUAU